rnacentral:rRNA from 1 species
GACGAACGCUGGCGGCGUGCCUAAUACAUGCAAGUCGAGCGCAGGAAACUGACGGAACUCUUCGGAGGGAAGGCAGUGGAAUGAGCGGCGGACGGGUGAGUAACACGUAAGGAACCUGCCUCAAGGAUUGGGAUAACUCCGAGAAAUCGGAGCUAAUACCGGAUAGUUCAACGGACCGCAUGGUCCGCUGAUGAAAGGCGCUCCGGCGUCACCUUGAGAUGGCCUUGCGGUGCAUUAGCUAGUUGGUGGGGUAACGGCCCACCAAGGCGACGAUGCAUCGCCGACCUGAGAGGGUGAUCGGCCACACUGGGACUGAGACACGGCCCAGACUCCUACGGGAGGCAGCAGUAGGGAAUCUUCCACAAUGGACGAAAGUCUGAUGGAGCAACGCCGCGUGAGUGAUGAAGGUUUUCGGAUCGUAAAACUCUGUUGUAAGGGAAGAACACGUACGAGAGGGAAUGCUCGUACCUUGACGGUACCUUACGAGAAAGCCACGGCUAACUACGUGCCAGCCGCCGCCGUAACAC